rnacentral:rRNA from 1 species
AUACGGAGGGGGUUAGCGUUGUUCGGAAUUACUGGGCGUAAAGCGUACGUAGGCGGACUGGAAAGUUGGGGGUGAAAUCCCGGGGCUCAACCCCGGAACUGCCUCCAAAACUUCCAAUCUAGAGAUCGAGAGAGGUGAGUGGAAUUCCAAGUGUAGAGGUGAAAUUCGUAGAUAUUUGGAGGAACACCAGUGGCGAAGGCGGCUCACUGGCUCGAUACUGACGCUGAGGUACGAAAGCGUGGGGAGCAAACCGGAUUAGAAACCCUAGUAGUCC